rnacentral:rRNA from 1 species
UACGGAGGGGGCUAGCGUUGUUCGGAAUUACUGGGCGUAAAGCGCGCGUAGGCGGACCUGCAAGUCGGGGGUGAAAGCCCGAGGCUCAACCUCGGAACUGCCUUCGAUACUGCGGGUCUCGAGUCCGGGAGAGGUGAGUGGAAUUCCUAGUGUAGAGGUGAAAUUCGUAGAUAUUAGGAAGAACACCAGUGGCGAAGGCGGGUCUCUGGGCCAUAACUGACGCUGAGGAGCGAAAGCGUGGGGAGCGAACAGG